rnacentral:rRNA from 1 species
AUACGUAGGUGACAAGCGUUAUCCGGAUUUACUGGGCGUAAAGGGCGUGUAGGCGGUCUUGCAAGUCAGAAGUGAAAUUCCUGAGCUCAACUCGGGCGCUGCUUCUGAAACUGCAGGACUUGAGUGCUGGAGGGGAUAGCGGAAUUCCUAGUGGAGCGGUAAAAUGCGCAGAUAUUAGGAAGAACACCGGUGGCGAAGGCGGCUAUCUUGGUAAUAACUCACGCUAGGGAGGAAAAAGUGUGGAACAAAUUAUUUUGUGAUUCCAUGUUUUUCCACGCCUUAAACGAUGAAUACUAGGUGUAGGGGGUAGCGACGCCCUCUGUGCCGCAGUUAAAACAAAUUGUAUUCCACCUGGGGAGUACGGCCGCAAGUUUUAUACUCAAGUGAAUUGACGGGG